GUGCGAGUUUCUCUCGUUGGUGGUUCUUGUCACUCCACCUAGAUUCUUAAGAUUCUGAACUUUGGGGACAGAAAGAAAAGAAUGGGUGAAUAAGGAGGAAGUCAUAGCAAUAACAGGACAACAAAGAGAAGCUGAUCAUGGAUUAUCUGACCAUUGAAGUUGAAGAAAAAGCUAUGAGUACUGAGGAUGCUUCUCUGCCCCCAAAACAGAGCACAGAAGAAGUGGAGCCUACCAUAGAACCCCUUCCUGUUGAGUUUCAGGCAAGUUUGAGUUUAAUCUCCCUCCCGUGAAAUCUCAGCUUGGUGUUCAUAGUGUGUCCUCAUUUCUUUCUUUCAUCUUGCUUCAGAGGUUCAUGGAAAUCCCAUCUGGAGGACUGAAUGAAAGUGAAUUUUCCUUGGAAACUCAAAGCUCUGGGAAGAACUCUAGUUGGAACUUUAAAUUUGGGAGUGAUUAAUCUGUGUGAAUGGUAUUUUAAACUAUUAAACUGUGAUGACUAAGGGAAUAAGUAUAGAUGGAAAAGAGGAAUUGACAACAGUCAAGGAUGAGGAAAUGAACUUCACCCAUGUGGAGGAGGAACAGCUGAAUUCUGCCCAAAGGUACAUGGGCAUGGAUAUGAAAGUGGAGAAUUGUGGGAGCCUAGUAUUUUGGGCUAAGGAAGUUAUUUCAUGCAUACUGCUUACUGGGACAUAAGCGUCUUCUAUAACUAAUGACAUCUAAAUGCCAUAGUUUUGCUUAAGAUCCAAAGAGCCCUGAGCCCCUAGGGGAUCCCUGGUCACUUUGAGCUCAUAAUUGGGUUU